UGGGGGAAAGGAGACAUGGCAGGAAUCUUACAUCUAGAACUUGGGGUCAUGACCUGCGGGACGCACCCACUGACGCGGGGAUGGAGAAAAAAGUGAAUGGAGGAACCUCACCUUGGAUGUCCCCAUGGAGCCUUGGAGGGAUGCAGAAGACAGGAUUGGCCAGCGACAGUCAAAGUGGCCGGCACCCCCCUCUACCAGCUCCCCAGUUCCUGGAGGCUGGGGGCCAAAAGAAAGACACAGGCUACUUUGACAACCUGAAAGCGAACUCCAGAAAUAUCACCAACAGCAUGACCUUUUUGACCAAAUCCAG
rnacentral:lncRNA from 1 species